UACGGAGGGUGCAAGCGUUAUCCGGAUUCACUGGGUUAAAGGGUGCGUAGGUGGGCUAGUAAGUCCGUGGUGAAAUCUCUGAGCUUAAACUCGGAAACUGCCGUGGAUACUAUUAGUCUUGAAUCUCGUGGAGGUAAGCGGAAUAUGUCAUGUAGCGGUGAAAUGCUUAGAUAUGACAUAGAACACCGAUAGCGAAGGCAGCUUGCUACACGAGUAUUGACACUGAGGCACGAAAGCGUGGGGAUCAAACGG
rnacentral:rRNA from 1 species